rnacentral:rRNA from 1 species
AUGAACGCUGGCGGCGUGCCUAAUACCUGCAAGUCGAGCGAACAGACGAGGAGCUUGCUCCUCUGACGUUAGCGGCGGACGGGUGAGUAACACGUGGAUAACCUACCUAUAAGACUGGGAUAACUUCGGGAAACCGGAGCUAAUACCGGAUAAUAUAUUGAACCGCAUGGUUCAAUAGUGAAAGACGGUUUUGCUGUCACUUAUAGAUGGAUCCGCGCCGCAUUAGCUAGUUGGUAAGGUAACGGCUUACCAAGGCAACGAUGCGUAGCCGACCUGAGAGGGUGAUCGGCCACACUGGAACUGAGACACGGUCCAGACUCCUACGGGAGGCAGCAGUAGGGAAUCUUCCGCAAGGGGCGAAAGCCUGACGGAGCAACGCCGCGUGAGUGAUGAAGGUCUGCGGAUCGUAAAACUCUGUUAUUAGGGAAGAACAAAUGUGUAAGUAACUAUGCACGUCUUGACGGUACCUAAUCAGAAAGCCACGGCUAACUACGU